UUGCGGACCGCGCCAAGCGGACGUGGCGGGGCUGGAGAACAUCAGGAUUUUUCCGCUUUCUCCCGAUGGCCAACGAAAUGGCAGGCGAGCUCCCUACCCACCCGGCCC
rfam:Rhizobium sp. Pop5 Contig274, whole genome shotgun sequence.